GAUGAACGCUGGCGGCGUGCCUAAUACAUGCAAGUCGAGCGAACGGACGAGAAGCUUGCUUCUCUGAUGUUAGCGGCGGACGGGUGAGUAACACGUGGAUAACCUACCUAUAAGACUGGGAUAACUUCGGGAAACCGGAGCUAAUACCGGAUAAUAUUUUGAACGGCAUGGUUCAAAAGUGAAAGACGGUCUUGCUGUCACUUAUAGAUGGAUCCGCGCUGCAUUAGCUAGUUGGUAAGGUAACGGCUUACCAAGGCAACGAUGCAUAGCCGACCUGAGAGGGUGAUCGGCCACACUGGAACUGAGACACGGUCCAGACUCCUACGGGAGGCAGCAGUAGGGAAUCUUCCGCAAUGGGCGAAAGCCUGACGGAGCAACGCCGCGUGAGUGAUGAAGGUCUUCGGAUCGUAAAACUCUGUUAUUAGGGAAGAACAUAUGUGUAAGUAACUGUGCACAUCUUGACGGUACCUAAUCAGAAAGCCACGGCUAACUACGUG
rnacentral:rRNA from 1 species